rfam:Ciona savignyi cont_41748, whole genome shotgun sequence.
CCGCAGAUUCAGACAUUUGGUUCAUGUGCUUGGCUGAUAAGCCAAUGGUGCGAAGCUACCAUCUGAGGGAUUAUGACUGAACGCCUCUAAGUCAGAAUCCCGCCUGGAAAGCGACGAUGCAUUCGUGCCUCGGCCUCGAGAGGCGUAGCUAGACGGCCGCGUGGCCGUGGAAAGAGCCCGAUUCCGACCCGAGAGGCCGCGGCAAGAGGCGGCCUCGAAGUCGGUGGAUCCUCCUGCUCGAAAGGCGGGGUGCUAAACCAUUCGCAGACGACCUAGUUGAAGAUCGGGGUGUCGUGAUCACUAGAGCAGUACAUCUCACUGCGAUUUGUUGAGAGUAAGCCUCAAGAUCUGUCGGUUUGU